CCUCUCAUUCCCACGUCCUCCACCUCCCGUUCCCACCCCGCACCCAUCCGUGAAUCUCCGCCGACCACGCCCGCACCUCCAACUGCAGCGCCGGCCACCUCCCCCAGACCCGCUGCCGGGCUCCUCCCGUGGAUCCUCCGCCGGUCACCUCCAUGUGCAUAGUCUCUGGAUCACGCCGCCGCCGCCAUCCUCCCUGGAUCUCACCGCCGCCUCCGCUCCCUACCGCCGGCGUUCCUCCUCCCAAACGUCCACCGUCCUCCCCCCAACCACCUCCCCGCCACUAGGUGCGUCGCCGCCAGGCUCCCGCGUCCCGGACGCCGGAGGCCCGGGAUCCGGCCGCCACCAUGCGGCGCCGCGACCACCUGCCUCCUACCCCGGCCUACCAGGCUCCCCGCGCCGGCACCUGCACCCCGUGUCCAGUGGCCACUGCUCGGCGUCACCCCCUUCUUCUCCAAAUCCGCGUCGGAGUCGUGGUGUGCACUGCUCCCUUGCCAGUCGCCCCACCUUUGCUGUCAGCGGAGGCCGCUACCUCGAUUUGUCCAGCGAAACACCCCCCCCCCCCCCCCCCCCCCCCCGAGUCCUGCAGCGCUCCUCUGCAGCCAUCGCCGGGGUGAUUGAACUGUAGUGCACUUGCUGCUGCCACACCUGCUGUUGCCACCAAAUAUGGCUCAGGACACCAGCUCUGAUCUACCUCAGCUCUACUAGUUCAGGCGACGGGUAACUCUGAUGUUUGUUUCUACAAUAUUGUUUGCAAAUCAGUAUUGUUGGUAUGGAUGCUUCUCUGUUGUUCAUCUUAGUAUGUCAAAGAAGAAUCAUGAAUGAUUGGGUCUACAUCUGCAUAAAAGAGAGUCCCUUUCUGAGUUUUGAUUCAUUAAUUGAUUUCAUACGUAUGUUGCUAAAAAAGAAUUAACCGUGUAGAAUGUGAAAAACUAAGAUUAGAGUUGUACUUUUUCCGCUGAAUUUUUUGACCAUGUUUCUUGGUUAUCAAGUAAGUGUUCUUCGUUGUUUUCAUCAAUUUCCUAAUUGAUGGAAAAGCUUGCUGCUACUCGCUUCCAGUGUUGUGUACUGUGCUCCUGCUCUCUAAUGUACUAUCUGAAGCUUGUACAGCGUGCCAGAGCAAAAAAUAGGAAGGCACUAAUCUGAAGUUCAGAUAUGAUAAAGAAAGAAGUCGUGCGAUCUCGGAUCUAGUGAUUUUCCACGAGCUAUGGCCCCUUUCCCUGAUGCAUAAACGCGGACGACCGCCCUGCAACGUACCUCUUUCUCCCGCUGCUCCAGCAAGCAAGCUCCCAGCGUCGCACCUCCAGCCUGCGACCUUCCCUUCUGCCACGUCUCCACCGACCGUUGCUACCUCCUGGCCAUAUGAAUGGCGUUGCCGAAGUCCACAUUGUACCACACCAGCAGGACGACUCCUACAGGUCGUGCCAAUCAUCUUCCUUCCAUCGUCCAUGGUCGCCAUCGCCGUCAAUAAAGUUGAACUCGAUCCAUGUGUACUAUGUUUGCAGUACGCGCUUGAUGCAUUCGAUCGCCUCAUGCAGUGCUCCAGGGAAGUAGCCGGAGGCAGGAGCUAGCUGCACACUCGCUGAUUUUCGCAUAGCCUAGUGGUUGUUAACCAAGCUAAGCAGGUCAUGUUUGUGUGAGCUAGAAGUACUAGUGUGAGGCGUUACGUAGAGUGAUUUGCUUAUGGUUUUGAGUGAGUUGGAUGUACCAGGAUGGGAGAUGCGAGUGUUCUUUACUUGUGAGUUUAUUAUAAUUGUUGUUACCAUGUCUUCAA